rnacentral:misc_RNA from 1 species
UAAUCCCUUGAAUCAAAAUGACCUCCUGAGAAUUGUUGAAAAUGUUCUCCACGAUCACACAAUUUUGGAGUAUUCGUCUCCUGGGAACUCGAUGCAUAAAGUAUUCCUAACCCCAAAUCUGUGGUCACAGAAGUGACAGAUGAAGAUGAUGUGUGAUCAGCAGGCAGACUCAUAUUGGGCAGAGUCAAAGGGGUAAACCAAGGACUCUCUUUCUCUUUUUGCUGACUUUUUGAUGCUUCUUUGAUUAGCUUAGAUUGGCAAUUGACAUUCUCAGUUUCAGAAUCUACUGUUAUUGGGAUGCUAUUUCUCUUUGGAAAAUCAUUUUGCAAAUCCAUAUGAACACCAAGACUAAGAUUUGCACAUUG